ACCGAAGGCUAUGUUUGGAAAAUUAAACACUGGCUCUUCCCCCUCCUCCGCCCCUCUCUUCUUCCCGUCUCCUUCAAGGCAGCUUCCCCCAAAGGAAAAACGCGGCCAGGAAAGCACAUGGAGGAGAAUACUAUUGCGCCUUCCUGGCUGAGUUUUCCUGCCUGCACGAACGUGUCGGGUUGUGGGUUGUUCGGGGGGGGGGUUGGUGAGGUGUUUUUGCCCUGUUUUGUUUUCCUUCCAGCUCUGGGCGGCGCUAAGUGCUCCUUCUAGGCUCUGGCAACGGCACAAUUCGCUGCUGUCAAAAUGGAAGGCGAAUAUGUAGGAGGAUUUGGAGACAUUUCCUUUGGUACCCGGAGGCUGGUCUGCCUUGUUUAUAACUUACAAGAGGAGUGAGCUUGCUUGCUCGCUUACUAGGAGCAGAGCAUCAUUUUCAAAAAGCAUCAAGUCGGAAUGUUUCUCCCGCUUUGGAUCUUCUUGUAAUGACACACACACACACACAAAUAUUUUUGUCAAUGCUGCAGCCCCCUGCUGUUAAGGCUGGGCUCUCUAAUGCAGCUCCGUUUCAAAGAGAGACUUUUUUGAGUGAAGAACUUCGGUGAGAUCUAUCUGUAAAAUCAGGGAGGCAGGGAGCAUAUAGUGUGCCCAUUUCCCUGCCUUCCACAGUCUGGGAUUGCAAGGAACUGGAAGGCUCUCCACGGGCCAAAGCAGGUGAACGUCUCUCUGAUGCUGCUUCUCCCUCGCCCGCCCCCCACCGCAAAGACCUAAGAUACUGGGCCGCCCUUUUGCUUUGAAGUUGCCGCCCUUGCUGGCUCUGCAUGCCCAAGCCCCCUUCCCUCAGCCAAGGCAAAGGGGUGACUGUGAGCCCGGCUUCCGCUCCCCGCAGCUCGCCGCUUUCCGUGCCUGCAGAGCCUGGAGCUGCUCUCCCCACGCCCCAAAGAACAAUCCUCGUAAACUUCCCCUGCCGGGACUCGGGUUGCGAAGAGGCUUGCCUGCCAGGCGUCCCUGGGCAGGCUGCGAUCCGCGUUGCGUCACCCACUCGCACUCCUGCCCUUGCAGAGUAAUGAGCUGCCCGGGGGUGAGUCAACAUUCCUCGGGGAGAAGAAAGGGUGCUAUCCGCGGAGAAACCGUAGGAUAUUAUGAGCUGGGUUGGGAUGGCUAGCCCUUGCCUUGGAAUAAUAUUUACUUAGCUCUUUGCUGAGGAGGGAAGAGAGGUGGAGGAAGAAACACUGAAAGAGCCUUUGUUUUUAUUCAGAGUGCUUAUGCAUGCAUAGGGUCACGCCCUUCUGCUUCAUCUCAAUCCAGAAUCAUUAGGGCAACCUGCUUCUGGGUUUACAAGCAUCACCAAGGAGGACCAGAACACACAUUCAUUCCCCAGUUUGCAUAGAGCUUUCAGUCACCAACCCCUGUGUGUGUGUCAAGGAUUCACCAAUCCUUGUUUGGGCUCCUGAGGAAAUAGCCUUCUUCUGCUAAAAUUAGCACCACUGUCUUUCAAGUAUUACAUGCUUGCAGUCAAGAUUUAAGCUGCAGUCCUAUAUAAGUCCCUGGGAGAAAGUCCCAUUAAUGGGCAUUGCUUCCAAGGUGAUGUAUAAAGGGGCUGCUUUGUUACAGCACAAUUCUUUUCACAUUUACUCGUGAAUAAACCCCACUGUGUUUAAAGGGACUUACUUACCAAUAGUAAGUCCCAUGGGACUGCAGGGGACUCGCUUCUAAAUAAGAGAUGCAUAGGAUUGCACAGUCAUCUUGAGUUUCAGCCCUCCAAUGUUGGUCCUGCAACCUAAACUGCUAACUCAAAGGUAGCACCGUUUAACAUGGGUGAAUGUCCAGUAAUGGAAGCUGUGGGAAAGACACUAGGCACCAGCUCUUCUCCAUCCAGUUGCCUUCCAAAGUAAAGGCUUUCUUUUGGGAAUAUCACUGCUAUAGCCCAUUUCAUUCGCUUCUGGGUACCACCGCCUUCUCGAUAAGUUGCAUGGCCUUUAAUACUGCAGUAUGGAAAAGGCAAAAAGUAGGCCCAGCCAUGGAAAGGUCUGCUAGAGGGGGAAGUAGGCAACAGGAAGACAGGAUGAAAUCGGCUGGAAUAGAGAUUGGGUCAUUGUAACAUGUCACUGACAUGGUCAUCAAGGCAAAAUGCUCGCAGAGGUCUCUCCCAAGAGCCUUUUCUAGCCUUUUACAAGGCUGGAAUCUCCUUUGGGCUCUGUAUUUAAGAACCUGGUUUCUAACGCACAUCUCAGAAUUCUGUCAAACGCAGUGGGAAUCCCUUGACACAAGGUCAGAAUCGGUGUGUUCUAAAGAAAGUGGAUGAAAGCAUUGUUUUGGACCACCGACGAAGUGUUUCCAAGGCUGCCUUUUCACCACCACUGCAGUGGAGUGGUGUCUUCUGGACUGGAGGAAUUCCGCCUGGAUUCUCCGAGCGUGACCUUGGACAAGAGUCCAGGGAGCGUCUGGCUGCCUUUCACUGGAUGUUCCCUGGAUUGUCCAAGAAGAGCUUAACAUCCCGGGUGCCAGCCAGCCAGCCUCUUGGCCCAGCUGGAUGGAAGCAAAACUGGACCUGCGCCAGCUGAGUCCUGUUCUCAAGUCAGAUGAAAUUGGUUUCUGCCUGAAGGACUUUGGUGUGGCUGCAGGUUUCCUGCUGCACUUUCCCUUUCCUUUGACCUGUGGGCUCUCUGUCCAUUGAGAUUUCUGUGAAGAGGCUGAAUGGGAAAGAUGCCUAACUUUGGUUCUGGCCUGAGACUUCCUCUUUCUGCUAGGCAGUUCUUGGAAGGGCCCACUCUUCUGCUGCAGCACUCUCUUGCUUGCCUUUCCAAUUUCCAUUGCCAGACACCUUCAUGGUGAGGCACCCUCCGGAUUAAAAGCACCCCGACCCCUCACUUGCCAAAUAGAGCCCCUGGGGGAGGGGGUAACCCUCACCUCCCUGGUGGUAUCGGCAGGUUGCUUGGCUCCCCAGUGCAGCAUGAGCAAAGCCCAAGUCGAAAUCCAGCAUGCCUUUAUGAGGCCAACCAAAAAGGUCACAAAACAGCAAGCAAACUUUCCAUUUCUCCACCACUCUUCAACAGGCCAAGCAAAGUGUGAAGCAGGAGGGAGAAAAAGUUGGAUUGGUUUUGAAGCCAUAAAGUCUGCAUUCAUAUCAGUUAAGAUAGGAGUGGCGGAAGAAUAUCAGAAUAUUUUCAGAUAAGCACUUAGAGAGCUGUAUUUCAGUGACAGGGCAAAAUUGCCUUCCCAUGUGCCUGAAGGUUCCUAUUUGUUUUUCCUCAAUGACUCAUCAACCUUGAUUUCCAACUUUGGGAGCAUGCUGCUGGCACCUACACUGGAGACCCUUUAUCUUCCUUGGAAAUACCCCCUCCCUAUUUUUUUUUUGGGGGGGGGAGUGCUUUGGAAAUAAUGGUGAUGAUGGAAUGAGAAUGCCCUUGAACAUGUACAAAGUGCCUGUUCACCGAAGCACUGAAUAGUGCAAUGUCACACCCAUCAUUAAUACAUAUUUGGGUUAAGGGGGGGAUGCUUCCAGGUCACAGGCAGUGCGUCUUGUUGGAGGGUUUAAGUCUCUUCACCUCGCUGCUUUAAAAUAUCAUGCCCCCAAACCAGGCAGAGCAAACCUGAAGGGCGAGGAGCUGGCACAAAGUAAGCACAGUUGGUGCAACAGGCAAAAAAGAAACCAACAAAAAAGCGAGGCCACACCUCUCCAAGCCACCUUUACAGGAGGAGGGUUGUGGAAGCAGGGAGGGGUUCUCGGUUUAUCAGCAGCUACCGAAGAUAAAAGGAGGAACGAAGGAGCUGGGGUCACGUCUGCUUUUGAGGAGUCUUUUCUGCGUCCUGCUGGCUCUGUAGCUGUGUCCGGCCUCUGGGAUGUGCGCGUUUUAAAUGGAAAAAGGAAAGCCCUCCGGUCCUCGGUCCUUAUCAUGGGCGAAGGCGGGAGGGGCAGCUUUCCCCCUCCCCCCAAAAAAUCAAGUAAAAAAAAAUACUUAACAAACUGACCAAUUGCGUCGCAGAUAACUCGGUUCUGCCCCCCCCCCGCCCGCCCGCCAACGUAAAGCCUCUCCUGCUUAUAACAAAUCAUGGCUACGCUCAUGUUGCUUAUUUAGCACUUGUGUAAUCUAGGGAUUUAAAUAAAUGAAAUUAAUAGUUAUUAACAAUGGGGCCAUGCAUCUGCCUUAAUGGGUUUAUAACACACAAAGAAAAUCGAGGGGUGGGGUGGAAUAGAGUGGGGGGUAGAGGAUGAACAGGGCGAGAGAGGAGCGAACGAGCUAAGGCAGCAGGAGCAGCGGACCCACAAAGCGGUUCAGUCCUUUGAGUCUCGGGUUUAGGGCUCCGGCUCGCCCGCAGACCCCACGUCGCUUGGCCGGAGAAGAUCCAGCUUUGUAGGAAUCAGUCAUCGCUGGAAAGCAAACUGCCCCCGCCAGCUCUUUCCCCACGGUGGAGCAAGGGGGACUCCUUACGAGCCUCUCCAAAGCUCCCGUUCAUUCCCGCGUUGGUUAGCAGCAACUAACGGGAAUAUGACGAUCACGGAUGAAAUAUGGAUCGGGGAGGGGAUGGAAGAGUGCGCGGGCGGCGGCGGGAGGUGGUUGUUGUUGUUUUGGCGAGGUUGAGUUGUCUGCUUCAACCCAAACCAGCUGCCACCUUUCCAAAGCAAUUAGUGACUCGAGGAAGCAGAAAUCACAAUGCUCCAUUAAGGAGUCAUAAAACAAAUGCACGACAGUAUUAAAUGCGUCUUAAGGAAAAUAUUUAAUAAAAAAAAGAGGAUGGGGGAAACAGGACGGCUGUCUUUGCUCGGUAUAUUGGCUCCAGAUUUUCCGCAUCGUCGUAAAUUUCGGAGCGAAAAGAUGCUCUCCAGCCUGUUGUUCCUUAUGACACACACACACACACACACACUCGUUUCACAUCUCUGUCUGGGUGCAGAGAUCAUUACGCAGUAGACCAGAGGCUCUCUGUUGGCUGUCUCCAAAAAAGGUGUCUUUCCAUCUAAUGCGGGCUUUCAAAACAAAUCUCCCCCAGCCAACCCCACCCCGCUCUCGAAAUCCAUAGCCAAGCCAGGUGAGUGUAUGCAUCUGACAACUGAGGUUAGAAGUUAGAAUGAAGGAAAUCUAGUCCACAAAAGGCCGCGCCAUCAUCGGGUUGUUAGUCUUGAUGCUACCAUCCGGCCGUGUUUUGAAACUGCAACAGACGGACACCUCUCCCUCUCUGGAAACUAAUGAUAAUAAUAAACCCACACCAGUAAGGGGCGCCUGAUCCUGUGGUCCUAGGAGAGGGGGGCGGACAGCCCUUUCGAUGGAGACAAAUAGGUAGAGGGCAAUUUCCAUGCAAGCCUAUGGCUGUAAAUAGAGACCCUCUGCCAAAGCAGCUGGUUUUGUUUUUCAAGCUCGGCGCGGGGAGGGUGGAGAGAAGAGUAUGUCGUGGAGGGCCAGGGAAAUGUGUUCCUGAAUUCCACAAAUGCUUCGGAGUAGGAACCAGUUCCAGAUCGGUGUCAGAUGAAAAGUUCUCCCCUCCGCUGCCAGGAGGUGUCUGUCAAAACACCCGAGUUAUCCGCAUAACAAUUAUGACGCCAUUCUGUGUUUUUAAAAUUGCGUUUCAUCAGAGGUGUUCCCUUGUAAACUGCACAGACGGUGUUUUGCAUCGCUUAAAAAAAAAAAAGAUAACCGCUCAAGUAUUGGGCCCCUUUCAGAUUUUAAACUUCUCUUUAAAAAAAGGUCUUCAUGUUCUCUUUUCUGUUUUAAGUGGCUCCGAUGCUUUCAUCCCUUUGUUCCCUUCGCUCAGGUGACAUUUUCUUUCCCUUCACAAGUUGCUUUUU